UUCAACUUUAUACUCCUUCAUGACCCAAACAUCAACGGAGGUAAACUCACGGUUACACAUCAAACAAAGACAACCCUCGAGAACCCCUAUGUCGAUGUUCUCAUGCGCAAGAGACUCAGGGAAGGUAAGUAUCUCAAACUCCUCUGCCGCAACAUCAAACCUUAUAAUAGUAUUGAACGCGAUAAGUCCAGGCCGUCUAGGUAAAACCCAGUGAAGACUAUUGCAAGCCAGCACACCGUACCCGCGACGGUACAAGAGAUGGUAGUAAAAGUAAAACAGUAGCUGAAUCGCGGGAAGAAGGCGUUUGACUCUCUUCCACGUGUUCAUCUUCAAACUAAAGACUUUAACCUCGUACGGGAAACCGAACACAAGCUCAUCGGCUGCGCCUCCUUUGCACUGAAUCAUCCUCACGACUUUGUAAUCUUCGUUAACCGAAUCGUAACCCAACCCGUAAAACACGUACCCACGUGUCCUCGACCCUUCGGGGAAAUCGACUUUGUAAUUUUAUUAUUUAGUUUGUAAGUUCCGUUCUUAUCUCUUGAAAUAUUUUUGUAUUAAUGCAAACUUUAUUAUAAGUUAUGAAAUUAUUACAUAAUAAUUAUAACUGAUUAUAAAUUAUGAAAUUAUUACAUAAUAGUUUAUAACUGAUUCUAUUAUUUUGUUUAUGAAAAAAUAGAAUAUUCGUUUGACUGGUUUCCCCGAUAUCACCUGUAAAUGCAGCUUUUGCGAUUGGUAACGGUAGUCAGCGUUCUACAACAAUCACACAAAAUGUUACAAACCGUUUUACACGUUCGGUUUAUGUAGUACAAACCGAUCCCAAAAAUAUCACAACAUUACAUAUAUUUAUAAUAUGAUUUUUAAACACUACACUAAAUAUAAACUAGUCCUACAUACUAAAUAUAGGUAGAAAAGUAUAAAACAACCUCAAAAUUAGUAAUCACUAUACCCUAAACCCUAGCAUCCAUGAACCAAAAUAUCAUAGGUUUUAACUAUGUUAAGUAUUUAAACCGUAGUGGGUAAAACAUUUAGAACUAAGUAAAUAAUGAUAAAUAUACUUUGGAAAACUACUAUAUAAUAGAACAAAAAUACUAAACACUAAACUCACAAGCCCUAACUCACUAAACCCAAAUAGCAUAUGUUUAAAGUUUAUUAGGUUUCUAAAUAGUAAACCACACAUUUAACAUAACCGUGAGGCUAUUUUUAUAGAGACAAUUGGGUGAAUAUACCCAAACCGCUGGAAAAUUAAGUAACUACCCGAAACCAUGAAAAACUCAUGUUCACUGUAGAUAUUUGUAUCUCCCUUUCCCAUUUUACCCCUGCCCUAAAGUUUCAUCUUGUUUCUCUUUCUUUCCUGAAUUCAUACAUCUUUCAUCUAUCUCUUUUUCUCCCAAUUAUCUCAACCUUUGUUAAGAUUAAAGUUUUAUUUCAAAUCAAUCAAUCUUCUUCUUAAAUCUCCAAAUCAUGAUCUACUAUGUUUCCAACGCCAAUCAUACGAUAACCUCCUCAUCUUCUUAAAUCUCCAAACCUUCCAAAAAGAUUACGAUUAGUUCUAGGAUUUUACGGACUCUACAGUGUGCAACUAUUUCAGAAGAGAGAGAAAACACAGUCGAUAAAGAGAAAAGAAACACAAUAAAGUAUUAGCAACAAUACAAUAAUUGCUUUAUUUAUAUACAAUAAUUGUUAACCGCUAAUAAUAUAUUAGUUGAAUAGAUAAUGAUUAAGUUAACACGAUAAUCUAUUUUUUUACCUUUUAAGAAAAUAUAUAUCAGGUAACAAUAGUUAUUUUUAACAUCUUGCCAACCAAUUUAAAAAGCGAUAACAUGUUUUAUAGCAGUUAACCAAACAUGUACCUGUUAAUGACAACAUAUUGUAUAAAAUGUAACUGCUAAGUUGUGACGACGUACAAUGUUAUAAUAUAUAUAUUAAUCUUAAUAAUUAAUUAAAUUAGACUUUUUACUUAUAUAAUUUUUGUAAUCAUUUGUAUUUUGUCAUGACAAAAAUUUUAAACCAUGGAUCAUAAAAUUUGAAUGUGAAACUUUUAACAGUUUUAGUAAUUUAUAGCCGUUUGUAAAAAUUCAAAAUAUAACAUAUACAUAAAAAUCUAAAUUUUUAUUAUAUGGUUAUUGUGGUUGUUUAAUUUAUUUAAUAGUUUAAAAUUAAACAAAUAUGAUAGAAGAUACACUAUUUUUUAUCAAAUCUUUAUUAUUCAAAAUCAUUAAUUCUCAUAUAUACUUUAGCCACAUUAGGCAAUUUCGUAAAUUUUAUUUAAGGAAAUAAUAAAGUACAUUAAUGAUGAAUUUAUUGUUAGUUUAAUAAAAAACUUAUUAUAUAAUUAGAUGGACCAACAUAUUUCUCUAAUGAUUCUAAGAAUCAUUCUAGUGAUGAGAUGUGGCUACAAAAAGAAGUUGUAAUGAUUCUCAAAUAAUAUAUAGGGGAUGUUAACGUUAUGAGUCAGAUUCUAAAGUUUAAUAUAAUGUUGUUAAAGUAUGAAGCAUGAUAUUGUAGAAUAAAUCGUUUUUGCCUAUGGUACAACUGGUACAACUUUUGCCUAUGUAUCAAACAAUACAGGUGAUACUAGUAUAACUGGUCUAACUAUGUCUUAUUUACCAGACUAGUGAUACUAAUAUAACUAGUACAACUAUUCAGGUUCUAAAAUUGAAAUAUUCCAUUGGUUAUUGCAUAUUGAAAAAAAAUUACCUAGCCAAAUUGGUAAAUAUUUAGAUAGGUUUCUUUUUAUUUGUGAUGAUUUUUUUUUUCUUUGGAAAUUAUAACACCAUCACAUAAGUUUGCAUGAUCUGCCUUAUAUUUUUAACGUUUGUUAAUUUCUUUGUCCAUAUAAUUUUUGGAAAACGUACAUGAAAUGUAUUUUUACAAAAUUAAUGAUUUCAUUGUAUUGGGGAAAAGAACAUGUAAACAUAAAAAAAGUGGUACAACUGAGGUAAGUUUAAUUUUUAUAUGGUACAACUAUUUUUUUUUAUUUCAUUGCCAAAGUACAACUAUGUACAAACCAGUACAACUCAAAAACUAGUACAACUAUGUAUAAACUGGUACAACUCGAAUACUAGUAAAACUAUGUUAUUUCAUUUUGUAUUGUGCAUCACGUUUUAAAUGUGUAUAAUGUUUUAAACAUUUUGGUUGAACAUUAAUGUUGAGUAGUUGUAACAGUUGUGCCAUUCUUGAAAAAAUUGUGUAGUUUAACAUGUUGUAUUAGUUGUACCUAAAUACCUGUAAUUUUAAACUCAUCACAAAUUUUUUUAACAUUCCUCCAAAAGAAAAAAAUUAAGCAUCCUAAUACACAUAGGUUUUAACAUACAAAAGAACAUAGGUUUUAACAUCCAAAAGAACAUAAGUCUUACGAACAUAAGUUAUAAGAAAGCCGAAAACGACAUAAGUUUUCAAAAGCUAUGCCAAAUAGCUCACUUUGGUAUGAACACAUAAAAAAUGGUACAAGUGAUGUGUUUAUAUGGUAGAACUCAAUUUUUUUUAAUUUUAAAGCCAAAGUACAACUAUAUUCAGUAUGGUACUAGUUGUACUAAUUAUACUUGUCAUACAUAAUCCAUUUUUUUCUUAUAAUUUUUUUUCUUAAAGGGCUUUCAUCCUCUCGAUGGAAAUACAACAAACAUUGGUAUGUUAUCUCUUCAUAUCAAAAUAUGCAAGUUUUACCACAUCCUUCUUGUAUAUGUGUUUACAAUUGGUCAAUUUCCUGUCUUAUUUUCAUGAAUGCUUAUGCAUUCUUUUCGAGCUCAUGAUGAUUUUUACAUCAUCUUUUGCAUACUCUUCUAAUUGGCUUUCUACCGCAACUUUCCGGCUCCACGACUACUUUCUUUGGCUUUGUAACCAAAAAUAUGAUGAUGAGUAUUUUUUCGAAAUGGUACAACAAGUAUAACUAAUACAACUUGUAAACAAAUAAUUAUCAAAUCAAAUAUUAUUGAAAAUAAACUAUUUAUGUAUUUUCACACAUUCAAUCGGAGAAAGAUUAGACCAACAUGUCUCAGUAGUUCCACCUCAUUCUAUUUUAUAGCAUCAUUCAUACACUCAAAACCAAAACCAAAAUAUCACUAUAUUAAUUCCAAAGUUGUACCGGUUAUACUAGUUCUAGUUGUACUAGUUAUACUAGUUUGAGUUGUAUUAGUUGUACUAGUUUGAGUUAUACUAGUAAUACUAUGUGUUCUUCUUUAACAUGAACUCGAACAUAAAACACUAAACUCGUUCGAAUAAGAUAAAAUUGAUUAAAUAUCUCUAUGAUUGAUCGUUUUGAGAUAAGAAAAAAAAAUUGUGAAUAUUUGAAUAAAAAUUUUGAUUUUGAUUUUAAGUGAAGAAGUUAAAAAAACAUAAAUGGAGGAAGAGGAAGAAGAAAAAGAAUUUGGGUUAAAACCGGGUGGGGUUAUUUGGUUAAAUUACAGGUCGAAUAGCACAUAUAGUAAAUAAGUUGAUGUCUUUUGGUUUUCUAGUUAUUUACCAUUGUUUUGUAUUUAAAUUUUAAUAUAAAAUAAAUAAAAAUUAAGUGAAGGCUAAAUCAGACUUUUUUUUGACCCAUGUGGUCAAUCCGAGACUUUGAUUCAGUUAAAUUGCUGUAAUAAGAAAUGUAUUGCUACAUGUGCCCAAUGACCAAGCUGAAAAACCUGAAGCCCAGAUAUAUAUGCCCAAGAACCAACCUACAUUCACUUCAGUUGAGUUGCAUGAAAUCAGAUUCCCUUUGGUCAAAUUACUCUUUUAACUUUGACUGGUUCUACUACUUAUUGAGUCAACCAUUGUGACUCAAGUAGUUUAAUCCUACAGUUAGAAUACAUGACGUUUUAGUCGAAUAUACCAACAUACAAGACUCAAACAUAGUUCGCAUAUACCAUUAUUAUAUUCAUUCUAUUACACUCUUUUGUUUGGUCAACCACUCUAUUACACCUUUUAUGUUGUUGUGUUCGGUCGUGGAACAACUCUAGAUAGAAAGAUCACGUAUCUUCUACAUACACAUAUUUUAAACAUAUAUAGGUUAAGAGAGUUAGUAGUAACACCAUUUCGUUUCCACCUUCACUUCCACCUGAAGAAAAAGAUUAUACACCUGAAAUAGCUAAAUACUAUAUACAACUUCCAAAAAGAUUCAUUACAGUUACCUUGCAUGGGUUUGGUUUUUAUUUUUAAACUUCUCGUUGCUUUGCUCAUAACACCAGCUUGAACCCCUUUGACAGAAAAUCAUCCCUGAAAAUGUAACAACAUAACAUGUUUUGAGCACACUAAUACAUCUCAUCAAAACCAACUAGAGAUGAGCAUAUAGCACCACCUCUUACUCCUCUGCUGCAUCAUCUUAUCUUCCAAAGCUCGACGUUCUCUCCUUCUCUUAGCUUCACUAGGAUCACCUUUACACCCCAAAACCAGGCUACUCACAAGCAACUCCGCGCUAUACGAACUAUCACAGUCCUUUAUCCUAAGCGUCCUCAACCUCUUACUCCCCAAAUCAAACCACAAAAGCUUCGCGUUAUUCACCUCAAUCAAAACCUUCCUCCUAUCCUUUGAAUAAAGCAGAGGCCUCAUAAAGUCAAAAGACUCAACACUCUUCGGCUUCGGAACGCUAAACACCUUACUCCAAGACCCUUCAACUUUAUACUCCUUCAUGACCCAAACAUCAACGGAGGUAAACUCACGGUUACACAUCAAACAAAGACAACCCUCGAGAACCCCUAUGUCGAUGUUCUCAUGCGCAAGAGACUCAGGGAAGGUAAGUAUCUCAAACUCCUCUGCCGCAACAUCAAACCUUAUAAUAGUAUUGAACGCGAUAAGUCCAGGCCGUCUAGGUAAAACCCAGUGAAGACUAUUGCAAGCCAGCACACCGUACCCGCGACGGUACAAGAGAUGGUAGUAAAAGUAAAACAGUAGCUGAAUCGCGGGAAGAAGGCGUUUGACUCUCUUCCACGUGUU
rnacentral:lncRNA from 1 species